UACAGAGGUCCCAAGCGUUGUUCGGAUUUACUGGGCGUAAAGGGUGCGUAGGUGGUCGGGUAAGUUUGAUGUGAAAUUUCGGAGCCCAACUCCGAAACUGCAUUGAAUACUAUUCGGCUCGAGGUUGGGAGGGGAGACUGGAAUUCUCGGUGUAGCAGUGAAAUGCUUAGAUAUCGAGAGGAACACCAGUGGCGAAGGCGAGUCUCUGGACCAAUCCUGACACUGAGGCACGAAAGCCAGGGGAGCAAACGGG
rnacentral:rRNA from 1 species